AUGAGCAUACGGAUCAAGGAAAGCGCCAUGUUUCGUGAACAACAAGAAAACAACCCUUGUUUUAAUUUGCUGUCAUUAUUACCGAAUCUUUCAAUUUAUUCACCUCUCUUUCUCCUUCUUCAUCUUCCUUCUCACCCCUUAAUCACCAAUUCAAUCUUCUCCCUUUCUUUCUUCCACUACUUGGAAAACAGCAGCAUCACUGCCAGAACCAGUUUCCCUUACUCUGGCGUUCCUUUCUUCAUCUCUUUAAAGUCCUUUUAA